CUAGCAAAUCAAUGAAGCCAAAAGAUUGUAAGGUUGGACAUCCAGCCAAUGGACAAUGACAUAGUUUCACCUCAGUUUCCCCUUUACAUUGCCAGCCAGGAAAAGGGGAAAGAAGCUGCUUCUCGGAGAGCUCAGUGGAUGAGGCUGUAGCCGACCCCGGACCGCAGAUCCCAGCGGAAUGAAAAGCCAUUUCCUCCAUUUGGUGUUCCAGAGGUUUGCUUCUUGCCGCUCCUAUUUCAGGACUACAGCAGUGACAGCCGAGGCCAACUGCAGAGCUGGCAUAACUGAAGAGGAAGUGACCUGGCCUGGAUGUGACUCAUACUUGGAAGGGAGCUGUCUGGGAGGGCCACAGCACCUGCAGCCAACUUUGCGUGAGAAAGAAGUGAAGAAUAGCCAUUGGGUAGGCUGCCAAUAGCACCUGCUGGAGACGCUCAGGAGAAAUUAUAUGCAAAAUCCACCAGGCCCUUUAUCUAAGGGCAGGAUGUCGCCUCUUCAGAAACUCUUGUUUUUUUUUUCUCUCAUGGUAAUGAUUAAUUCUCUGCAGUGAUUUAGAAGAAUUCUUGUACUAAAUGUCUUGCCAUUAAAAGUUUGAUGAGUAUAGAAACUGACAGUAAAACUAUUUUUAAAAAGUCACUCUGCUUCUAACCCAAACUUCUUACUCUAGCUGUUAUUUUACCACGACAUGAGUUGUACGAAUCACCUCCAAUUUACAUAUUACA